rnacentral:rRNA from 1 species
UACGUAGGGUGCGAGCGUUAUUCGGAAUUACUGGGCUUAAAGCGUGCGCAGGCGGCCUUGCAAGUCAGGGGUGAAAGCUCAGAGCUCAACUCUGGAAUUGCCUUUGAGACUGUGAGGCUUGAGUACGGGAGAGGUGAGUGGAAUUCCCGGUGUAGCGGUGAAAUGCGUAGAUAUUGGGAAGAACACCGGUGGCGAAGGCGGCUCACUGGCUCAUUACUGACGCUGAGGCGCGAUAGCGUGGGGAUCAAACAGG